rnacentral:rRNA from 1 species
AUUGAACGCUGGCGGCAGGCCUAACACAUGCAAGUCGAACGGUAACAGGAGGAAGCUUGCUUCUUUGCUGACGAGUGGCGGACGGGUGAGUAAUGUCUGGGAAACUGCCUGAUGGAGGGGGAUAACUACUGGAAACGGUAGCUAAUACCGCAUAACGUCGCAAGACCAAAGAGGGGGACCUUCGGGCCUCUUGCCAUCGGAUGUGCCCAGAUGGGAUUAGCUAGUAGGUGGGGUAACGGCUCACCUAGGCGACGAUCCCUAGCUGGUCUGAGAGGAUGACCAGCAAAACUGGAACUGAGACACGGUCCAGACUCCUACGGGAGGCAGAAGUGGGGAAUAUUGCACAAGGGGCGCAAGCCUGAUGCAGCCAUGCCGCGUGUAUGAAGAAGGCCUUCGGGUUGUAAAGUACUUUCAGCGGGGAGGAAGGGAGUAAAGUUAAUACCUUUGCUCAUUGACGUUACCCGCAGAAGAAGCACCGGCUAACUCCG